UACGUAGGGAGCAAACGUUGUCCGGAAUCAUUGGGCGUAAAGCGCGCGUAGGCGGCCUCAUAAGUCCGUUGUGAAAGUCAAAGGCUCAACCUUUGAAAGCCGAUGGAUACUGUGAGGCUAGAGUCCGGAAGAGGCGAGUGGAAUUCCUGGUGUAGCGGUGAAAUGCGUAGAGAUCAGGAAGAACAUCGGUGGCGAAGGCGCUCUGCUGGACCAUAACUGACACUCAGGGACGAAAGCUAGGGGAGCGAAUGGG
rnacentral:rRNA from 1 species